rnacentral:rRNA from 1 species
CGUAAGCAACCUGCCUAUCAGAGGGGAACAACAGUUAGAAAUGACUGCUAAUACCGCAUAUGCCUUGAGUAUUGCAUGAUACAAAAGGGAAAGGAGCAAUCCGCUGAUAGAUGGGCUUGCGUCUGAUUAGCUAGUUGGUGGGGUAAAGGCCUACCAAGGCGACGAUCAGUAGCCGGACUGAGAGGUUGAGCGGCCACAUUGGGACUGAGAUACGGCCCAGACUCCUACGGGAGGCAGCAG